rnacentral:rRNA from 1 species
GUGCCAGCCGCCGCGGUAAUACAGAGGGUGCAAACGUUGCUCGGAAUUAUUGGGCGUAAAGCGCGUGUAGGCGGCUUGUUAUGUCGGUCGUGAAAGCCCACGGCUCAACCGUGGAAGUGCAACCGAAACUGGCAAGCUUGAGUCCUGACGAGGAUGGCGGAAUUCCCAGUGUAGAGGUGAAAUUCGUAGAUAUUGGGAGGAACAUCGGUGGCGAAGGCGGCCAUCUGGGAAGCGACUGACGCUGAGACGCGAAAGCGUGGGGAUCAAACAGGAUUAGAUACCCCCGUAGUCC